GACAGAGGGUGCAAACGUUGUUCGGAAUUACUGGGCGUAAAGCGCGUGUAGGCUGCUACGUGUGUCGGACGUGAAAUCCCAUGGCUCAACCAUGGAAGUGCGCUCGAAACUGCGUAGCUAGAGUCCUGGAGAGGAAGGUGGAAUGCUUGGUGUAGAGGUGAAAUGCGUAGAGAUCGGGAGGAACACCAGAGGCGAAGGCGGCGACCUGGAUAGGUACUGACACUCAACUACGAAAGCGUGGGGAGCAAACAGG
rnacentral:rRNA from 1 species